GUCAGAACCUCGGCCAAGAGAGGAAAGGCCGAGCCCUAGCCUUGAUUCACUGCCGCCACCUUCUACUUGUCUCCGGUGGAGGAUCACAGGUCAAGGCUUCGGAUUUGGGUCUGCCAUCGUUGGUUACCUGGCUGCCGGGAGAUAGUCUUCGUCGGAGUUAAUUCCAUGGGCACAGAUUUGAGCACUGUCACCUUGCCGAUCACCACUUACUCCGGCCAAUAACACCAGCAAUACCACGAUCGAGUUUGGGACUCUGAUUCGAGAUGAGCGUCUCGACAUCGGAUUUGGUUUGAUACGAUUUU